AUGGGAGCAGGAAAUCCAGACUGGCAAGCCAGCUACCUUAAGAACCUUAGGAAACUAAAGGUAGAAUUGCAGCUUACAGACACAUUUGUCCUACAUACUUUGUCACUGUGUUGGGUGUUCGGCCCUGGAACCCAGCUGACCGUCCUUGGUCAGCCCAAAUCUGCACCCACGGUCACUCUGUUCCCACCCUCCUCUGAGGAGAUCAGCACUCACAAGGCCACACUGGUGUGUAUGAUAAAUGACUUCUACCCCGGCAAUAUUAAGGUGACCUGGAAGACAAAUGGCAAACCCAUCACUCAAGGAGUCGAUACCACCAAGCCAGCGAAACUGAGCAACAACAAGUAUGCAGCCAGCAGCUACCUUAGCUUGACGUCCUCUGAUUGGCUCGCUGCUGAACAGUACAGCUGCCAGGUCAUACAUGACGGAAAAACUGUAGAGAAGACAGUGUCUCCUGCAUAA